ensembl:lncRNA novel transcript
CCUCACCCGAGGUCUCCCAGUCGCGAGCCCAGAGCCGAGAGAAAGCGCCCCAGAAUGGCCCCAGCUGAUUCCGGCCCCCAUCGGGACCCUCCAACGCGCACCGCUCCCCUCCCGAUGCCCGAGGGCCCUGAGCCCGCUGUGCCCGGGGAGCAACCCGGAAGAGGCCACGCUCACGCCGCUCAGGGCGGGCCUCUGCUGGGUCAAGGCUGCCAGGGCCAACCCCAGGGGGAAGCGGUGGGGAGCCACAGCAAGGGGCACAAAUCGUCCCGCGGGGCUUCGGCUCAGAAAUCGCCUCCUGUCCAGGAAAGCCAGUCAGAGAGGCUGCAGGCGGCCGGCGCUGAUUCCGCCGGGCCGAAAACGGUGCCCAGCCAUGUCUUCUCGGAGCUCUGGGACCCCUCAGAGGCCUGGAUGCAGGCCAACUACGAUCUGCUGUCCGCUUUUGAGGCCAUGACCUCCCAGGCAAACCCAGAAGCACUCUCCGCGCCAACGCUCCAGGAGGAAGCUGCUUUCCCUGGACGCAGAGUGAACGCUAAGAUGCCGGUGUACUCGGGCUCCAGGCCUGCCUGCCAGCUCCAGGUGCCGACGCUGCGCCAGCAGUGCCUCCGGGUGCCUAGGAACAAUCCGGACGCCCUCGGCGACGUGGAAGGGGUCCCCUACUCGGUUCUUGAACCCGUUCUGGAAGGGUGGACGCCCGAUCAGCCGUACCGCACAGAGAAAGACAAUGCCGCACUCGCUCGAGAGACAGAUGAAUUAUGGAGGAUUCAUUGCCUCCAGGACUUCAAGGAAGAAAAGCCACAGGAGCACGAGUCUUGGCGGGAGCUGUACCUGCGGCUUCGGGACGCCCGAGAGCAGCGGCUGCGAGUAGUGACCACGAAAAUCCGAUCCGCACGUGAAAACAAACCCAGCGGCCGACAGACAAAGAUGAUCUGUUUCAACUCUGUGGCCAAGACGCCUUAUGAUGCUUCCAGGAGGCAAGAGAAGUCUGCAGGAGCCGCUGACCCCGGAAAUGGAGAGAUGGAGCCAGCCCCCAAGCCCGCAGGAAGCAGCCAGGCUCCCUCCGGCCUCGGGGACGGCGACGGCGGCAGCGUGAGCGGCGGCGGCAGCAGCAACCGGCACGCGGCGCCCGCGGACAAAACCCGAAAACAGGCUGCCAAGAAAGUGGCCCCGCUGAUGGCCAAGGCAAUUCGAGACUACAAGGGAAGAUUCUCCCGACGAUAA